AGAUGGCGACCGGCGCACGGGUGAGUAACACGUAUCCAACCUGCCGAUAACUCGGGGAUAGCCUUUCGAAAGAAAGAUUAAUACCCGAUGGCAUAAUAGAACCCCAUGGUUUGAUUAUUAAAGAAUUUCGGUUAUCGAUGGGGAUGCGUUCCAUUAGGCAGUUGGUGAGGUAACGGCUCACCAAACCUUCGAUGGAUAGGGGUUCUGAGAGGAAGGUCCCCCACAUUGGAACUGAGACACGGUCCAA
rnacentral:rRNA from 1 species